AUUAAUAUUUUAAUGUAUUUCUGUUUCAUUUAUUUUAUAUGCAUAAUUUUUGUCAGUUAUUUAAUGGUCAUACUGCUUACAUACUUUUGAAAACAAUUUUUAAAAUUUAACAUUUCUAUGUAAGCAUUUUCUCAUGUUAUUAUGAAUUCUUAAUAAAUAUCAUUUUAAUGGCUGCUUAAUGUUCCAGCAAGUGGAUAUUCCAGAAUUUACUUAAUGAUCUCUUUAUUACCAGACAUUAACUGGUUUCUAAUUUUUUAGUAUUACAGAUAAUGUCAUGAUCAAUAUUUGGGGGCAUUUUCCACAUUUCAGAUUAUUUCCUUAGGCUAGAUUUACAGAAGUAGAAUUGCAGAGUCAAAAGGUAUGAAAACAUUCAACACUCUCAAGAAAUAUUGUCAUACUGCUUUAUAAAAGGGUUGGUGCAGUUUGCACUGCCGCUAGCAGCUAAUCGAGCAAAACUGCAAUGGGACUAAAAACAGUUUAUGGAGUUAGACCAGGGUUUCUCAACCUCAGCACAAUUGACCUUUUGUGCAGGAUAAUUCUUUGUUAUGGGAGGCUGUCGUACGUAUUGUAGUAAUGUUUAGCAGUAUCCCCGCUAUCUGUCCACUAGAAUUCAGUAGCAACCCUCAGUUAUGACAACAAAAAAUGUCUCCAGACAUUGCCACAUGCAUCCUUGGGGGCAAAAUCAUCCCUGGUUAAGACCUCAUGUGUUAGACAAACUUUAACUUUGACUUUCAUUUGAGCUCUACCACAUACUAGCAAGCCAAUGUGGGCAGGUUACUUGAUCUCUCUGGCUCAUCAUUUAUUCAUCGUAAACUGGGGAUGAUUACACUCAGCUCAGGAGUUGCUUGUGAAGAUAAGAUAGUGUAUGUAAGGUGUUUCAUACAAUGCUUGGAGCCUGGUAACAGCUAGUAACUAUUUGCAAUUAAGAUCAUGGUGGCAAUGCUGGAAGUGCCCUGUGAAAGGACCUGGCUUUUGUGUGAAUGAAGGAGAGGUGGGUUUAGUGAAUCACUGAUAUUCAUUCAUUUAUUUAUGCACUCAUUCAGUUAGUAUUUAUUGGGCCAUUACUACAUGCCAGGAAUUGUUCCAGGCACAAAGGAUACAGCAGUGUAUAAAAUACUGUCCUCAUGGAGCUUAUAUUCGAGUGGAGAGACAGGCAAUAAAUGAGAUUGGAAAAGUUAAUUAUAUGAUAUGUUAGGAAAGAGGAUAGAAAUUGUUUGGCAGGUGGGAGAGGUUGAAAUUUUAGAUAGGAUAGAUCUGGAAGUCUCUAUCGAAGAGGGACAAUUAAGACUUGACUUUGCCAUGUAGGCACUGAAGGGCAGUCCAGAUGGAGGGAAGAGCAAGUGCAAAGGCCCUGAAACAGAAAUGUGCCCAGAAUGUUCAAGGACUCACAGAUCUAACUUGGCUGAAGGCAAGGCUUCGGGGUCAAUAAGGAGAGCUGAUUGCAGGACUAUGCAUCACCAUCUGAUUACCUGGGUGUGCUUCAUGCUCUCGUGUGUGUGUGACAUUGUCAUGGAUGCAAUGUUCUCCUCAGAACAUGGAAUUCAACCUGCUGUCCUCUCUCAGUAACAAUAAUGAAGCUUUUAAAGCAUCCCUGAAAGAGUUAUCGUGGAAGGAUUUGCUAAAGGACCAAAGACAACUGCCAACCUCUUCAAAGGCAAUUUUCCUGCAUCAGUGUCACACAGGCUUGCCUUCCAGAAGUGGACAGCCAUGGAUUCAAGAUGUGUCAAAAUUGGAAGGAGCUUUGUUUCUAUUUGGCCCUGAAAAGUGUUCCACAACUGGACUGCCAUAUUGAAUUAUUUUCAGCAGUAGAAAUUCUUCGAUGGCCCAUUUCAGACCAGCCUCUAAUUUGAAAGUAAUAACAUUUGGGCAAAGCUUAGAUGCACUAAGUUGCUGCCGAGGGCUUGGUGGGCUUUGAGGUAAUUGGUUUUACUCAGUUGCUGAUGCUUCACUUGGACAAAUGAGAAAUCAAACUACAGCUCAGUUUGCAGAAAAGCCCGUGUCAGCAGUUUAGUCUGACUACUAUUUCAGAGCUUGUUAUAUUAUUGGCAAUAAAAUGCAACUAAUAUACUGUUAAUUAAUAUUGCAUCCUACAGCUAAUUUAUCACAUUAUUAAUCAGAGUGAUAAAGCCAAGGAAAAUGCAGCUUACCUUUAGUGUCCUUUCAUCUCUUUUAAACACUUGUAUUUACGCACAAAUAGGUGUUUUGGUCAACAUUGUCAAGUGUUUGGGUGGUCCUGGAUGAGUGUAUUUUAUUUGCAAACAGUAACUUCCCCCUCAGGAAUAUUUUAUUUAGCAAGACAGGACUUAAAGUGAAAGGGUAACCAUUUCUGAUCGUAACCUUGGCUUUGUGCUUCUAGUAAUUAUCCUUUAAUUUCAUUACCCUAUUUGAAAUAGAGUUGUAAUUGGAAAAAAACAAUUUGACAUUCCCUGAUGCUUACUCUGACAUGCACUAUUUGCUUUUUAUUCAAAUGUAAAUUUUCACCAUAAUACUAUCAAAGAAAGAAAAAAAAUUAAGCAAAAUUGAAAUGUCAGUUGCAAUUUCUGACAUGCAGGCAGUGUCAUUCACUGGUUUUGUCUGGAAGGCAAGACUUUCACUUCAGAUGGAAAAAAAAAAUCAAACUGAAAUUAGUAUGCUUUGAGGAGAGGGAGAGAUGGAUGGCAGAAUCACAGAUCUAUUCCUUUGGGAUAUGUGUCCACUUUGCACAGUGGCUUCAAAAUAUCAAACAAGCAUCCAGCUAUGAUUUUUGGAUGAAUAAUCCUUUAUGCUUAAUAUAAAAAACACUUUUCCUUAAAAACUGAAAAAUCAUAAACUUACCUCUAUUUUACCCUAGGCAUCUUGAAGGUGUAAUUUUCAUUUGGAGCAUGUGUUAGGCAGUCUCUAAAAUGGCUACAAUGAUUUCUGUCUCCUGAUAUCACACUCUUAUAAACUCUUCUCUUUUGGUUGUGGGCUAGACAUUUUGACUUGCUUCUAAUAAAUAGAACACAGCAAAAGUAAUGGCAUGUCACUCCCAAGAUUAGAUUAUACAAAGUACUGUGGCUUCUGCUUUGGGCUUCCCUGUUUUGCUUUCUCACAUGUUCACCCUGAGGGAGAUCAGCCUCCAUGUUGUGAGCAGCCCUAUGGAGAGGCCUUGUGGUAACUGAGGGAGGUCUCUGGCCGGUAACCAGUUGAGAAUUGAGGCCUUUGGCCCAUUAACCCAUGAGGAGCUGAAUCUUGCCAACAGUUUGGAAGUGAAUCAUCUUUCAGUUGAACCUUCAGAUGAGCCCACAGCCCCAGCUGACACCUAACUAUUACCUCAUGAGAGAACUUCAGCCAGAGGCACCCAGCUAAGUGGCAGCUGGAUUCCUGACCAAUAGAAAUUGUGAGGUAAUAAGUGCUUGUUCUUUCAAGCUGCUCAGUUUUGGGGUAAUUUAUUAUAUGGCAAUAAAUAAUUAAUAUAGGGUAGGAGAGAACAAAUAUUAAACUAAUAAUUCUAGAUAAGUUUGGCUUGUCACAUAGGCAGGAAAAAAACAUAAACAAUG